rnacentral:rRNA from 1 species
AUGGCCGCGGUAGCCUGACCGUGCAAAGGUAGCAUAAUUCCGUAGCGUUUUAAUUGAAGGCUAGGAUGAAAGGUUAGAAUCGAGGGAUAGACUGUCUCUUUCUUAUGAUUAGAAAUUAACUUUUCAGUGAAAAGGCUGGGAUGCUGUGAGGGGACGAUAAGUCCCUUUGAAACUUUAUAUAAUUUGAGCUGGUUGUUGCAAUUAAGGUUGUUGAAGUGAUGAUCCGCAUCAGUUUAUAUUUCGCUGGGGCGGUGUUGAUAUAAUUUUAACUGUCUAUAGCGGGGUGAUCUGCUAUUUAAUAAUUUAUAGUUAGGGUUUAAAGUUGAUUGAUCCUCUAUUAGAGAUUAUAAGAGAAAGUUACUCUAGGGGUAACAGCGUAAUUUUCUUUGAGAGCUCAUAUCGACAGGAAAAGUUGCGACCUCGAUGUUGGAUCUUGAUUUCCAUCUGGUGGAGAUACUAGAAUUGGUGGGUCUGUUCGACCUUUAAAAUCUA